GGGCCCGUGGUCUAGUGGUAGGAUAUGGGCUGUGCCCGCCUGAUGCCGCCCUCACACGGCGGUGGUCCCGGGUUCGAGUCCCGGCGGGCCCACCA
rnacentral:tRNA from 1 species